rnacentral:rRNA from 1 species
GUGCCAGCCGCCGCGGUAAAACGUAGGACGCGAGCGUUAUCCGGAGUUACUGGGCGUAAAGCGCGGGCAGGCGGUUGGACAAGUGGGAUGUGAAAGCGCCCGGCUAAACCGGGCGAGGCCAUUCCAAACUGUCCGACUGGAGGGCAGUAGAGGUGGGUAGAAUUCCGGGUGGAGUGGUGAAAUGCGUAGAGAUCCGGAGGAAUACCAGAGGCGAAGGCGGCCCACUGGGCUGCACCUGACGCUGAGCCGCGAAAGCCAGGGGAGCGAACGGGAUUAGAAACCCCUGUAGUCC